rnacentral:rRNA from 1 species
UACAGAGGUCUCAAGCGUUGUUCGGAUUUAUUGGGCGUAAAGAGCGUGUAGGCGGCCGCACAGGUCCGUUGUGAAAACUGGAGGCUUAACCUUCAGACGUCGAUGGAAACCGUGCGGCUAGAGUCCGGAAGAGGAGAAUGGAAUUCCUGGUGUAGCGGUGAAAUGCGCAGAUAUCGGGAAGGACACCCGUGGCGAAGGCGGUUCUCUGGGACGGUACUGACGCUGAGACGCGAAAGCGUGGGGAGCGAACAGG